rnacentral:rRNA from 1 species
ACAUCCAGAGAAUUUAGCAGAGAUGCUUUAGUGCCUUCGGAACUCUGAGACAGGUGCUGCAUGGCUGUCGUCAGCUCGUGUUGUGAAAUGGUUGGGUUAAGUCCCGNAACGAGCGCAACCCUUAUCCUUUGUUGCCAGCACGUAAUGGUGGGAACUCAAAGGAGACUGCCGGUGAUAAACCGGAGGAAGGUGGGGAUGACGUCAAGUCAUCAUGGCCCUUACGAGUAGGGCUACACACGUGCUACAAUGGCGCAUACAAAGAGAAGCGACCUCGCGAGAGCAAGCGGACCUCAUAAAGUGCGUCGUAGUCCGGAUUGGAGUCUGCAACUCGACUCCAUGAAGUCGGAAUCGCUAGUAAUCGUAAAUCAGAAUGUUACGGUGAAUACGUUCCCGGGCCUUGUACACACCGCCCGUCACACCAUGGGAGUGGGUUGCAAAAGAAGUAGAUAGCUUAACCUUCGGGAGGGCGUUUACCACUUUGUGAUUCAUGACUGGGGUGAAGUCGUAACAAGGUAAGCGUAGUGCU